CCUAGACGUGGGAUGCCCAUACGUGGGCUAGAACUUAGUAGGCAACUUGCACUCAUGAUUAUUGCAUAUUACUUUUGUUAUUGUGAUGCCUUUUAUGAAUUUGUCUUGUGUUUGUGAUGUUUGAUUAAGUUGUAAAUUAAACUUUAAGCUAUACGAUAGACAGGAUGGGUUAAUAGAUAGAAUAAAUCCAAAUGCAUUAAUUGAGUUUAAGGAUUAUAAAGAAAGAAUGGCC
rnacentral:lncRNA from 1 species